CCUACGGGAGGCAGCAGUGGGGAAUAUUGCACAAUGGGGGAAACCCUGAUGCAGCGACGCCGCGUGAGUGAAGAAGUAUCUCGGUACGGAAAGCUCUAUCAGCAGGGAAGAAAAUGACGGUACCUGACUAAGAAGCCCCGGCUAACUACGUGCCAUCAGCCGCGGUAAUACGUAGGGGGCAAGCGUUAUCCGGAUUUACUGGAUGUAAAGGGAGCGUAGACGGCAGCAAAAGUCUGGAGUGAAAUCCCGGGGCUUAAACCCGGAACUGCUUUGGAAAAUGUGCGGCUGGAGUGCAGGAAGGGUAAGCGGAAUUCCUAGUGUAGCGGUGAAAUGCGUAGAUAGUAGGCGGAACACCGGUGGCGAAGGCGGCUUACUGGACUGUAACUGACGUUGAGGCUCGAAAGCGUGGGGAGCAAACAGGAUUAGAUACCCUGGUAGUC
rnacentral:rRNA from 1 species